rnacentral:rRNA from 1 species
AACGAACGCUGGCGGCAGGCUUAACACAUGCAAGUCGAACGCCCCGCAAGGGGAGUGGCAGACGGGUGAGUAACGCGUGGGAAUCUACCCAAUACUACGGAAUAGCUCCGGGAAACUGGAAUUAAUACCGUAUGUGCCCUACGGGGGAAAGAUUUAUCGGUAUUGGAUGAGCCCGCGUUGGAUUAGCUAGUUGGUGGGGUAAUGGCCUACCAAGGCGACGAUCCAUAGCUGGUCUGAGAGGAUGAUCAGCCACACUGGGACUGAGACACGGCCCAGACUCCUACGGGAGGCAGCAGUGGGGAAUAUUGGACAAUGGGCGAAAGCCUGAUCCAGCCAUGCCGCGUGAGUGAUGAAGGCCUUAGGGUUGUAAAGCUCUUUCAGUAGGGACGAUAAUGACGGUACCUACAGAAGAAGCCCGGCUAACUUCGUG